CAGACAGGGUGUAUCGGUCGCAUCUCAUUGAGAUGAGGAAAGUCCGGACUCCAUAGGGUAGAACGUUCCGGGGUUAACCCGGGAAUCCGUAUGCGAUAUCGUACGGAAUGGAAAGUGCCACAGAAAAUAAACCACUUCGGCUUGCCGGAGAAAGGGUGAAAAGGUGGGGUAAGAGCCCACCGCCCCAAGGGUAACCACGGGGGCAGGGUAAACCCCGUUCGGAGCAAGAUCAAAUAGGGAGCAGAGAAGUUACCCGCUUCGUUUAAGCUUCGGGUUGAUCGCGUAGAUAAAUGACUGACCGUUUUAACGGAACAGAAUCCGGCUUACCGCCCUGUCUGCUCU
rnacentral:RNase_P_RNA from 1 species